rnacentral:rRNA from 1 species
CAGCUAACGCAUUAAGCACUCCGCCUGGGGAGUACGGUCGCAAGACUGAAACUCAAAGGAAUUGACGGGGGCCCGCCCAAGCGGUGGAGCAUGUGGUUUAAUUGGAAGCAACGCGAAGAACCUUACCAGGUCUUGACAUCUUUUGACAACCCUAGAGAUAGGGCUUUCCCUUCGGGGACAGAGUGACAGGUGGUGCAUGGUUGUCGUCAGCUCGUGUCGUGAGAUGUUGGGUUAAGUCCCGCAACGAGCGCAACCCUUGAUCUUAGUUGCCAGCAUUCAGUUGGGCACUCUAAGGUGACUGCCGGUGACAAACCGGAGGAAGGUGGGGAGGACGUCAAAUCAUCAUGCCCCUUAUGACCUGGGCUACACACGUGCUACAAUGGACAGAACAAAGGGCUGCAAGACCGCAAGGUUUAGCCAAUCCCAUAAAUCUGUUCUCAGUUCGGAUCGCAGUCUGCAACUCGACUGCGUGAAGCUGGAAUCGCUAGUAAUCGCGGAUCAGCAUGCCGCGGUGAAUACGUUCCCGGGCCUUGUACACCCCGCCCGUCCCCCCACGAGAGUUUGCAACACCCGAAGUCGGUGAGGUAACCUUU